UUUCUCUCUUCGCGGUCGCUGACAGCAUCAAGUGGUGACGGUGAAAAGUUCAGCAGCAGUAUUCCAUGGUUUCCUCUCUGUACAGUUGACCCCUUCUUGGUGGGGUCUUCGACUUUUUUUAAAGGCAGUGUAUGUUAAUUAAGAGAAUUUGACCCUUGGAUCCAAACCCAUUGGCAUGAGCUUAGGUUUUUAUGCGGGCUUGCAUCGUUUGAGGCGAAACCUGUGCGUGGAACAUGUCAUUGCAGCGAGACAUUGUCUCUUCACAUUUUAACCAGGUCGAUUUAGCUGCUUAUACAAAUAUUAACCAUGUAAAUAUAUAUUUUUAAUUAAUUUAUACUGUGAUUCAUUUGAUUAGCAUGUGUUAGUUGAAGCUCGUAAGUUUCAUUUA